GUGCCAGCCACUGCGGUUAGACUGGGAGGAAUCUGGGGAUUAUUGGAUUAUAGUUAUGAAAAAUGGUUUUAAUUUCUCUUAUUUAUAGGUUUGGGGGUGAAAUCUCGAGUUUUAAAGCAAUGAUUAAAAUUAAAUUCAAUUUCAGAAGCUAAAAAAAUUUAGAUUUAAACUAGGAUUAGAUACCCUAUUAUACUAAAUAUAAAUCUAAGGUGUACUUGAGUAGUAUUCAGUUAUGUUCUUGAAAUUUAAAGUAUUUGGCGGCAUCCAAGUCUAGUUAGAGGAACCUGCUUUAUAAACGAUAUGCCACGAAUUAUCUUACUUUAUCUAGUUAUCAGUAUGUAUACCUCCAUUAUAAAUGAUGUUCUUAGACAAGUUUUAUAAUGAUUUAAUUCAGUAUAUUAGGUCAAGGUGCAGCUUAUGAUAAAGCAAUUGUGGGUUACAUUGUAUUUUAUAACAAUUACGGAUAUAGUUCUGAAAAGAACUAUUAAAGAUGGAUUUAAUUGUAUGUCUAUUUUAAUAAGUUAUAUUGAUAAUAAGCUCUAGGAUGUGUACAUAUUGCCCGUCGCUCUCAUGAUAAGUGAGAUAAGUCGUAACAAAGUAGGA
rnacentral:rRNA from 1 species